UCCCAGACUCCUACGGGAGGCAGCAGUGGGGAAUAUUGGGCAAUGGGCGCAAGCCUGACCCAGCAACGCCGCGUGAAGGAAGAAGGCUUUCGGGUUGUAAACUUCUUUUCUCAGGGACGAAGAAAGUGACGGUACCUGAGGAAUAAGCCACGGCUAACUACGUGCCAGCAGCCGCGGUAAUACGUAGGUGGCAAGCGUUAUCCGGAUUUACUGGGUGUAAAGGGCGUGUAGGCGGGAGUGCAAGUCAGAUGUGAAAUCCAAGGGCUCAACCCUUGAACUGCAUUUGAAACUGUCGUUCUUGAGUACCGGAGAGGUUGACGGAAUUCCUAGUGUAGCGGUGAAAUGCGUAGAUAUUAGGAGGAACACCAGUGGCGAAGGCGGUCAACUGGACAGCAACUGACGCUGAGGCGCGAAAGCGUGGGGAGCAAACAGGAUUAGAUACCCUGGUAG
rnacentral:rRNA from 1 species